CAUCCCAGGGAAUCUAAAGUGUCAUUUCCUCUCUGGAAGAAAGGAAGCACAAAACAUGCUAGGACAAAAUUGGAGAAACUGAUUAUUUUACCCAGGCUUUGACUGGAAUGGCAUGAUUCCUUUAAAAAAUUCAAGCUUGACUUAUACAGCCAAUUAAGCCCUGUUGGGGAAUCUGGUCUCAUACCUUGUCCACACAGAGUCCUUGUACAAGUUUCCCGACCUGUGAAAGAAGAAAGAGCUUUAACAGACAUUUGAUAAUGAAUUGUUACUUCUUACUCAUGUUUAUAUAUAAACUCUUGACUGUCAAUGCUAUAAAAGACAAUUCAAAAGGAAGAAAUGCAGUUAUAUUGAAACACCAUUCAAAACAUCACAACAAGAAAUGCAGUCUACUAUAAACUGAGUAAAUAGAAAGAUAUACAGUAGUACUGAGGCUACUACCAGGAGAAGGCAAUAUUGGUACUGAACAAAAAAGAGUUUCUUCACACUGAAGUACAGCACAGUUGAGAAGCAUGAAAUAAAGACGUUUUCUAGACUCCAAUUCUAUCAUUUCCAUGAGAAGUCCUGGAAGCCGUCUCCCACAGAUACCAAGAGACCACUGUAUAUCCAGAAGUGUGACUACUGUGUAAUAUGAAGUUAUAACUUUAAUUUCUUCAGGAACCACCAUACUGCUUUCCACAGCAGGUUUAAACAGUAUCCAUUCAGAACAAUGACAAGAAAGCUUUAAGCUUAUACAAUACAAGAUGCUUCUUGCCCUUCUAGGAAGAAUCCUUUACUGAAAUGGAAGACGCAGUCUCGCUCUGUCGUCUGGCCUGGAGUGCGGUGG
rnacentral:lncRNA from 1 species